UGGCAUGUCAACUGUUCUCUCAGCUACUGUUACCUGCUCUGCAUGAGGUUCCUCGUCUGCAAGUGCAACAUUGCUUUUCACAUCCUCAUUGAGCUCGCGGAUGUUUGCAUCAGUCCUUUCGCUGAUUGCUUCAGUUUCCUUGGGUUCAGUGUCCUUCACCUCUUCUGCCGGCAUGUCACUAGCUGAUGCAUUUUCUUCCACCUCAACAGGUUCAACAUUCUUGAUCUCUUCUAGUUCUGGCUCUUGUGCUCGUGGAAUAUCAACUGUUGCCUCAGUUGCUGUUACAUGCUCUUCAGGAGCUGCCUCGUCUGCAGGAGUAACAUUGCUUGUCACAUCCCCGGUGAGCUCGCUGAUGUUUGCAUCAGUGCUCUCGUUAAUUGCUUCAGUUUCCUUGGCUUCAAUUUCCUUCACCUCUUCCGCUGGCAGGUCACCUGCUGAUCUGUUUUCUUCCACCUCGUCAGGUUCGACAUUCUCGAGCUCUUGUAGUUCUGACACUUGUGCUUGUGGUAUAUCAACUGCUGCCUCAGCUGCUACUACAUGCUCUUCUGGAGCUGCCUCAUCUGCACGAGUAACAUUACUUUUCACAUCCUCAGUGAGUUCACUGAUGUUUGCAUCAGUGCUUUCGGUUAUUGCUUCUGUUUCUUUGGCUUCAGCGUCCUUCACCUCUUCUGCCGGCAGGUCACUUGCUGAUAUGUUUUCUUCCACUUCAACAGGUUCAGUAUUCUUGAUUUCUUCUAGUUCUGGAUCUUGUGCUUGUGGUAUGUCAACUGUUGCCUCAGUUGCUAUCACAUGCUCUUCAGGAUCUGCCUCGUCAACAUUAGUUUUGACAUCCUCAGUGAGCUCACUGAUGUUCUCAUCAGUGCUCUCAUUGAUUGCUUCAGAGUUCUUCACCUCUUCUGUCUGCAUGUCACUUGCUGACAUGUUUUCUUCCACCUCAACAGGUUCAGUAUUCUUGAUCUCUUCUAGUUCCAGCUCCUGUGCUUGUGGUAUGUUAACUGUUGCCUCAGUUGCUAUUACAUGUUCUUCAGGAGCUGCCUCGUCUGCAAGCGCAACAUUAGUUUUGACAUCCUCACUGAGCUCACUGAUGUUCGCAUCAGUGCUCUCGUUGAUUGCUUCAGUGUCCUUCACCUCUUCUGCCUGCAUGUCACUUGCUGACAUCUUUUCUUCCACUUCAACAGGUUCAGUAUUCUUUAUCUCUUCUACUUCUGGCUCUUGUACUUGUGGCAUAUCAACUGUAUCAUCAGCUACUGUUAUAUGUUCUUCAGGAGCUGCCUCAUCUGCAAGAGCAACAUUGUUUUUCACAUCUUCAGUGAGCUCAGUGUUGUUUGCAUCAGUGUUCUCAUUGAUUGCUUCAGUCUCUAUGGCUUCAGUAUCCUUCACCUCUUCUGCUGGCAGAUAAUUUGCUGAUAUGUUUUCUUCCACUUCAGCAGGCUCAGUACUCUUGGUCUCUUCUAGUUCUGGCCCUUGUGCUUCUGGUAUGUCAACUGUUGCCUCAGUUGCUAUUACAUGCUCUUCAGGAGCUGCCUCGUCUGCAGGAACAACAUUGCUUGUCACAUCCUCAGGUAGCUCACUGGUGUUUGCAACAGUUCUCUCGUUGAUUGCUUCAGUUUCCUUCACCUCUUCUGCUUGCAGGUCACUUGCUGAUCUAUUUUCUUCCACCUCAACAGGUUCAGUAUUCUCGAUCUCUUCUAGUUCCGGCUCCUGUGCUUGUGGUAUGUCAACUGUUCUCUCAGUUACUGUUACCUGCUCUGCAUGAGGUUCCUCGUCUGCAAGUGCAACAUUGCUUUUCACAUCCUCAUUGAGCUCGCUGAUGUUUGCAUCAGUCCUUUCGCUGAUUGCUUCAGUUUCCUUGGGUUCAAUUUCCUUGACCUCUUCUGCUGACAGGUCACCUGCUUCAGUAUUCUUGAUCUUUUCUAGCUCCGGCUCUUGUGCUUGUGGUAUAUCGGCUGUUGUCUCGGCUACUGUUACAUGUUCUUCAUGAGCUGCCUCAUCUAUAAGAGCAACGUUGCUUUUCAUAUCUUCAGUAAGCUCACUGAUGUUUGCAUCACUGCUCUCGUUGAUUGCAUCAGUUUCCUUGGCUUCAGUGUCCUUCACCUCUUCUGCCAGCAUGUCAUUAGCUGAUGCGUUUUCUUCCACCUCAACAGGUUCAACAUUCUCAAUCUCUUCUAGGUCUGGCUCUUGUGCUCGUGGAAUAUCAACUGUUGCCUCAGUUGCUGUUACAUGCUCUUCAGGAGCUGCCUCGUCUGCAGGAGUAACAUUGCUUGUCACAUUCCCGGUGAGCUCGCUGAUGUUUGCAUCAGUGCUCUCGUUAAUUGCUUCAGUUUCCUUGGCUUCAAUUUCCUUCACCUCUUCUGCUGGCAGGUCACCUGUUGAUCUGUUUUCUUCUACCUCGUCAGGUUCAACAUUCUCGAGCUCUUGUAGUUCUGACACUUGUGCUUGUGGUAUAUCAACUGCUGCCUCAGCUGCUGUUACAUGCUCUUCUGGAGCUGCCUCAUCUGCACGAGUAACAGUACUUUUCACAUCCUCAGUGAGUUCACUGAUGUUUGCAUCAGUGCUCUCAGUUAUUGCUUCUGUUUCUUUGGCUUCAGCGUCCUUCACCUCUUCUGCCGGCAGGUCACUUGCUGAUAUGUUUUCUUCCACUUCAACAGUUUCAGUAUUCUUGAUUUCUUCUAGUUCUGGAUCUUGUGCUUGCGGUAUGUCAACUGUUGCCUCAGUUGCUAUCACAUGUUCUUCAGGAGCUGCCUCGUCUGCAAGAGCAACAUCAGUUUUGACAUCCUCAGUGAGCUCACUGAUGUUCGCAUCAGUGCUCUCAUUGAUUGCUUCAGUAGGUUUCACCUCUUCUGCCUGCAUGUCACUUGCUGACAUGUUUUCUUCCACCUCAACAGGUUCAGUAUUCUUGAUCUCUUCUAGUUCCAGCUCCUGUGGUUGUGGUAUAUCAACUGCUGUCUCAGCUACUGUUACAUGCUCUUCAUGAGGUUCCUCGUCUGCAAGAGCAACAUUGCAUUUCACCUCCUCUGUGAGCUCACUGAUGUUUGCAUCAGCACUCUCGUUGAUUUCUUCAGUGUCCUUCACCUCUUCUGCUGGCAGGUCACUUGCUGAUAUGUUUUCUUCCACUUCAACAGGUUCAGUAUUCUUCAUCUCUUCUACUUCUGGCUCUUGUGCUUGUGGCAUAUCAAAUGUAUCAUCAGCUACUGUUACAUGUUCUUCAGGAGCGGCCACGUCUGCAAGGGCAACAUUGUUUUUCAAAUCUUCAGGGAGCUCACUGUUGUUUGAAUCAGUGCUCUCGUUGAUUGCUUCAGUCUCCACGGCUUCAGUAUCCUUCACCUCUUCUGCUGGCAGAUCAUUUGCUGAUAUGUUUUCUUCCACUUCAGCAGGUUCAGUACUCUUGGUCUCUUCUAGUUCUGGCUCUUGUGCUUCUGGUAUAUCAACUGUUGCCUCAGUUGCUAUUACAUGCUCUUCAGGAGCUGCUUCAUCUGCAGGAACAACAUUGCUUGUCACAUCCUCAGAUAGCUUGCUGGUGUUUGCAAUAGUGCUCCCGUUUAUUGCUUCAGUUUCCUUCACGUCUUCUGCUGGCAGGUCACUUGCUGAUCUAGUUUCUUCCACCUCAACAGGUUCGAUAUUCUUGACCUCUUCUAGUUCUGGCUCUUGUGCUUGUGGUAUAUCAACUGUUGUCUCCGCUACCGCUACAUGUUCGUCAUGAGUUGCCUCAUCUGUAAGAGCAACAUUGCUUUGCAGAUCUUCAGUGAACUCACUGUUGUUUGCAUCAGUGCUCUCGUUGAUUGCUUCAGUUUCCACGGCUUCAGUAUCCUUCACUUUUUCUGCUGGCAGAUCACUUGCUGAUGUGUUUCGUUCCACUUCAGCUGGUUCACUAUUCUUGAUAUCUUCUAGGUCUGGCUCUUGCGGUUGUGGUGUAGCAUGAGUUGCCUCUGUUGCUUUUGAAUAUUCAUCAGGGGCUGCCUCGUCUGCAAGAGCAACAUUGCUUUUCACAUCAUUGAUGAGCUCGCUAAUUUUUGCACCAGUACUCUCAUGAGGGAUCAUCUCAGUUUCCAUGGCUUCAGUGUCCUUGAUC
rnacentral:lncRNA from 1 species